AAAGUUUUAAGUUAAAUAAACUAAUAAUCUUCAAAAUUAUCAUUAAAAUUCAAUUAUUUUAAGCUUUA
rnacentral:tRNA from 1 species